AAUAUGACUUAAUACAACGAAUAUCUUCAUGCAAACAUAUAAAUGUUCCAUGUGAAAUUAUGUUGUUUGAGUCAAACAAACGUAAGUCAAACAAAUAGGAAUAAAAUGUAAAAUAUCUUCUACCUUAUGUAUUGGCAAAGAGAUUUAAAUUCCUACCAUCAAUUUCGAGCUGGAAUACUCCGAGUACUUUGACGUACAGUAAAUCGAUGGCGUCAAAUCGUAGAGAUACAGUUAUAAUAUAACGUAUCGCGUUCCACGAUUGUGACGCGAAGAUCGGCAAUUGAGGUUACUGCAAUUAAUUGUAGCGAAGCUUUAUCACGUUGUUUUUCAAGAAGCAUUAAUAACCGUUUCUCACACGAUUUUGUUUUCGCGAAAAGGAACUCGCCGCAAGAAACGCCUGUAGCAGAAAGCAUGUAGCAGAGUCACUCACGUUGAAACCGGAAGAGAAUUAUUUACUCGAUAAAUAACUCGUCCUAAUUUCCAGGAAUGUUCGCGUUAAAAAUUCAUUCGCAUGCGAAUAGUCAAUUGACGAUCUUCGAUGAAUUUGCAAUUCAUAGAGGUGCGUCUGUAAUGAGAUGGGCGUUCGGAUACGAAGGAUUCACUAUUGGAUUUGUGCCGUGUGCGUCAUAGGCACACACGAAAACAGCCAUCGAUGAUAAGAGCGCACUUGUCAAUGAUAGACUCUAAUUAAACGAAUCGGAAGUGUCGAAUUAUCAGAUCCUUAUCGACUAUACAAGUUAUAGCGAUCAAGAUAGUGCACGGAAAACGGAUGAUGUAAUGACAGAGGAUUGAGAGGGCGAGAUCAAUAUCACGCGAUCUCUGAGUCGCUUUCCCUCGCAUGCAAAACGCACAGUCGCGUUCACGCGCGCGAAUGAAAGUUCAACGAUACUCGACGGAAAUUAAGAUUACACGAGCGUUACGCGAUACUUUUAAUGCCCAGAGAUAUAAAGUAAAGUCGAGAUGAGAAAUCGAAAGUGGAAUAAAAUAAAAUAAGAAA